CCUACGGGUGGCAGCAGUGGGGAAUAUUGCACAAUGGGGGAAACCCUGAUGCAGCGACGCCGCGUGAGUGAAGGAGCGUUUCGGCGCGUAAAGCUCUAUCGGCAGGGAAGAAGAUGACGGUACCUGGCCAAGAAGCCCCGGCUAACUACGUGCCAGCAGCCGCGGUAAUACGCAGGGGGCAAGCGUUAUCCGGAUGUACUGGGUGUAAAGGGGGCGCAGACGGCAAUGCAAGCCAGGAGUGAAAGCCCGGGGCCCAACCCCGGGACUGCUCUUGGAACUGCAUGGCUGGAGUACAGGAGGGGCAGGCGGAAUUCCUAGUGUAGCGGUGAAAUGCGUAGAUAUUAGGAGGAACACCGGUGGCGAAGGCGGCCUGCUGGACUGUGACUGACGUUGAGGCCCGAAGGCGUGGGGAGCAAACAGGAUUAGAUACCCGUGUAGUC
rnacentral:rRNA from 1 species